GAUGAACGCUGGCGGCGUGCCUAAUACAUGCAAGUCGAGCGAACGGACGAGAAGCUUGCUUCUCUGAUGUUAGCGGCGGACGGGUGAGUAACACGUGGAUAACCUACCUAUAAGACUGGGAUAACUUCGGGAAACCGGAGCUAAUACCGGAUAAUAUUUUGAACCGCAUGGUUCAAAAGUGAAAGACGGUCUUGCUGUCACUUAUAGAUGGAUCCGCGCUGCAUUAGCUAGUUGGUAAGGUAACGGCUUACCAAGGCAACGAUGCAUAGCCGACCUGAGAGGGUGAUCGGCCACACUGGAACUGAGACACGGUCCAGACUCCUACGGGAGGCAGCAGUAGGGAAUCUUCCGCAGUGGGCGAAAGCCUGACGGAGCAACGCCGCGUGAGUGAUGAAGGUCUUCGGAUCGUAAAACUCUGUUAUUAGGGAAGAACAGAUGUGUAAGUAACUGUGCACAUCUGGACGGUACCUAAUCAGAAAGCCACGGCGAACUACGU
rnacentral:rRNA from 1 species